CCUGAAGAUAGAGGCGGGUCAAACAAAAGUAGCUAAGAUGAGGUUGGAGAGAUACCUAUGAUCCUCAGCGAAAGGGGAUGGCUCCGAAGGGUGGAAUUUCUCUUUAAUUCCAUGCCUGGUUCCCGGAUUAAGAGUCCUUGAACUGUCACCGUAUCGCGGUGAAGUGCUAUCGUUUUG
rnacentral:ncRNA from 2 species